rnacentral:rRNA from 1 species
GCAAAACGCGAAGAACCUUACCAAGGCUUGACAUGCAUCUCUAAGCGCGUGAAAGCGCGUGACCCUUCGGGGGAUUUGCACAGGUGCUGCAUGGCCGUCGUCAGCUCGUGUCGUGAGAUGUUGGGUUAAGUCCCGCAACGAGCGCAACCCUUGUGACUAGUUGCCAGCACGUUAUGGUGGGAACUCUAGUCAGACUGCCCAGAUCAACUGGGAGGAAGGUGGGGACGACGUCAGGUCAGUAUGGCCCUUACGCCUUGGGCUGCACACGUACUACAAUGCCCAGCACAAUGAGAACCGAGACCGCGAGGUGGAGGAAAUCUAAAAAACUGGGCCCAGUUCGGAUUGGAGGCUGCAACUCGCCUCCAUGAAGUUGGAAUCGCUAGUAAUGGCGCAUCAUCUACGGCGCCGUGAAUACGUUCCCGGGUCUUGUACACACCG